AUUGAACGCUGGCGGCAUGCCUUACACAUGCCAGUCGAACGGCAGCACGGGUGCUUGCCCCUGGUGGCGAGUGGCGAACGGGUGAGUAAUACAUCGGAACAUGUCCUGUAGUGGGGGAUAGCCCGGCGAAAGCCGGAUUAAUACCGCAUACGAUCUACGGAUGAAAGCGGGGGACCUUCGGGCCUCGCGCUAUCGGGUUGGCCGAUGGCUGAUUAGCUAGUUGGUGGGGUAAAGGCCUACCAAGGCGACGAUCAGUAGCUGGUCUGAGAGGACGACCAGCCACACUGGGACUGAGACACGGCCCAGACUCCUACGGGAGGCAGCAGUGGGGAAUUUUGGACAAUGGGCGAAAGCCUGAUCCAGCAAUGCCGCGUGUGUGAAGAAGGCCUUCGGGUUGUAAAGCACUUUUGUCCGGAAAGAAAUCCUUGGCCCUAAUACGGUCGGGGGAUGACGGUACCGGAAGAAUAAGCACCGGCUAACUACGUG
rnacentral:rRNA from 1 species